rnacentral:rRNA from 1 species
GAUUAACGCUAGCGGCAGGCCUAAUACAUGCAAGUCGAACGGUAACAGGGUAGCAAUACCGCUGACGAGUGGCGCACGGGUGCGUAACGCGUAUGCAAUCUACCUCUAACUGGGGAAUAGCUCAGAGAAAUCUGAAUUAAUACCGCAUAACAUAACGGGAAGGCAUCUUUCUGUUAUCAAACCUUCGGGGGUUAGAGAUGAGCAUGCGUAUCAUUAGCUAGUUGGUGAGGUAACGGCCCACCAAGGCUACGAUGAUUAGGGGGUCUGAGAGGAUGAUCCCCCACACUGGUACUGAGACACGGACCAGACUCCUACGGGAGGCAGCAGUAAGGAAUAUUGGUCAAUGGACGAAAGUCUGAACCAGCCAUGCCGCGUGCAGGAUUAAGGCCCUAUGGGUCGUAAACUGCUUUUUAUACGGGACAAAAACCCCUNUACGUGUAGAGGGCUGAUGGUACUGUAAGAAUAAGGAUCGGCUAACUUCGUGCCAGCAGCCGCGGUAAAGU